rnacentral:lncRNA from 1 species
UAUCGAUAUUAUUUUAAGAUGAUACAUAAGAAAAUAUCAAAAAAAUACUGAUAAAAAUAUUUACAGCAUUCUAUCUGAUCUACAGCGGUACCUAAAAAUACCACUAAUGUCUAUUUUUGUUGCAGUGAGAGAGGAUGUGAGGGAGUAUGAGAUAGAGUGGGAGAGAGCGCGAGGGGGAAGACCCAUUCUACCCUCUAAUUCACACAGGUGGGAAGGAGAGAUAUAGAGGGAGAGGGAGAGAAAGAAGAAGGAUACAGGAGGAGAGGGAGAGCGUGGAAGACAGAGAGCGUAGGAGUGGAAGAGAACAUUUGAGUGUGAGAGAAAGAGUGCAUGGGAGAGCGUGAGGGAGAGAUGCGACAAUGAAGGAGAAGAAAGAGGCGGCGGAACGGCAGGAAGGUUUCGGGAGGGUGUCCGGAACCAUGUUGAGGUGGGAACGGGGUGUGGAAGAAGGGAAGAGGAGAGCGGGAAGGAGUUCACGGCAGUGGGGUCUUAAGGCAUGA